UGCAAGUUGAACGGGGUAUAAAUUGUAGCAAUACAAGAUAUACUUAGUGGCGGACGGGUGAGUAACACGUAGGUAACCUACCCUUAAGCUGGGGACAACUCAGGGAAACUUGAGCUAAUACCCGAUAAGACUACGGGCUGGGAGGCUUGUAGUAAAAGGAGCAAUUCACUUAAGGAUGGGCCUGCGGCCUAUCAGGUAGUCGGCGGGGUAACGGCCCACCAAGCCAGAGACGGGUAGCCGGGCUGAGAGGUUGAACGGCCACACUGGAACUGAGACACGGUCCAGACUCCUACGGGAGGCAGCAAUGGGGAAUAUUGCACAAUGGGGGAAACCCUGAUGCAGCGACGCCGCGUGGAGGAUGAAGGUCUUCGGGUUGUAAACUCCUUUUCUUGGGAAAGAUAAUGACGGUACCCAAGGAAUAAGCCACGGCUAACUCUGUGCCAGCAGCCGCGGUAAGACAGAGGUGGCGAGCGUUGUUCGGAAUUACUGGGCUUAAAGGGCGAGUAGGCGGUGGAGCAAGUCUGAGGUGGAAUCUUAGGGCUUAACCCUAAAACUGCCUUAGAAACUGUUUUACUUGAGUCAGUGAGGGGAGGGCGGAAUUCCUGGUGUAGCGUUGAAAUGCGUAGAUAUCAGGAAGAAGGCCUGUGGCGAAGGCGGCCCUCUGGCACUGUACUGAUGCUGAGGCGCGAAAGCGUGGGUAGCAAACAGGAUUAGAUACCCUGGUAGUCCACGCCCUAAACGGUGGGCAUUAGGUGUAGGGCUCGUAAGGGUUCUGUGCCGAAGGGAAACCAUUAAAUGCCCCGCCUGGGGAGUACGGCCGCAAGGUUGAAACUCAAGGAAUUGACGGGGGCCCGCACAAGCGGUGGAGCAUGUGGUUUAAUUCGACAACGCGAAGAACCUUACCUGGCCUUGACAUGUACGUAGUAGAAGGGUGAAAGCCUGACGAGAUAGCAAUAUCAGCGUACACAGGUGCUGCAUGGCUGUCGUCAGCUCGUGUCGUGAGAUGUUGGGUUAAGUCCCGCAACGAGCGCAACCCCUGUGUCCUGUUGCCACCCCGAUGAAAGUUGGGAGCACUCUGGACAGACUGCCUCGCUUAAACGAGGAGGAAGGUGGGGAUGACGUCAAGUCAGUAUGGCCCUUACGGCCAGGGCUGCACACGUACUACAAUGCCCGGCACAAAGGGAAGCAAGACCGUCAGGUGGAGCUAAUCCCCAAAAACCGGGCCCAGUUCAGAUUGUCGUCUGCAACUCGACGGCAUGUAGUUGGAAUCGCUAGUAAUGGCGCAUCAGCUACGGCGCCGUGAAUACGUUCCCAGGCCUUGUAC
rnacentral:rRNA from 1 species